AGCGAACGCUGGCGGCAGGCUUAACACAUGCAAGUCGAACGGCCCUUCGGGGCAGUGGCGGACGGGUGAGUAACACGUGGGAACGUGCCCUUAGGUUCGGAACAACACAGGGAAACUUGUGCUAAUACCGGAUGUGCCCUUUUGGGGAAAGAUUUAUCGCCUUUGGAGCGGCCCGCGUCUGAUUAGCUAGUUGGUGGGGUAAAGGCCUACCAAGGCGACGAUCAGUAGCUGGUCUGAGAGGAUGGCCAGCCACACUGGGACUGAGACACGGCCCAGACUCCUACGGGAGGCAGCAGUGGGGAAUCUUGCGCAAUGGGCGAAAGCCUGACGCAGCCAUGCCGCGUGGAUGAUGAAGGUCUUAGGAUUGUAAAAUCCUUUCAGCGGGACGAUAAUGACGGUACCCGCAGAAGAAGCCCCGGCUAACUUCGUGCCAGCCGCCGCUGU
rnacentral:rRNA from 1 species